UGGUGCAUGGUUGUCGUCAGCUCGUGUCGUGAGAUGUUGGGUUAAGUCCCGCAACGAGCGCAACCCUCGUUCUAUGUUGCCAGCGCGUUAUGGCGGGGACUCAUAGGAGACUGCCGGGGUCAACUCGGAGGAAGGUGGGGACGACGUCAAAUCAUCAUGCCCCUUAUGUCUUGGGCUUCACGCAUGCUACAAUGGCCGGUACAAAGGGUUGCGAUACUGUGAGGUGGAGCUAAUCCCAAAAAGCCGGUCUCAGUUCGGAUUGAGGUCUGCAACUCGACCUCAUGAAGUCGGAGUCGCUAGUAAUCGCAGAUCAGCAACGCUGCGGUGAAUACGUUCCCGGGCCUUGUACACACCGCCCGUCAAGUCACGAAAGUUGGUAACACCCGAAGCCGGUGGCCUAACCCCUUGUGGGAGGGAGCCGUCGAAGGUGGGACCGGCGAUUGGGACUUC
rnacentral:rRNA from 1 species